ACUUCCGCAGGCAGUUGCAGCAUUGCCUUAUUUGGAUUAUCACGGCUACCUACCAUAUGGAGCUCCACAGUUGCAAUAUCACCCACCUACGUACGUGUAUUUGCCACCAAUAGACGAGCUGUAUGAGGGACCACCGGGAGAGAGAUAUGAGGACUGAAGAAUGCAGAGAAUAUGCUACAUGGACUUAGUAUGGACUAUGUCUUUGCCUCUGUUGUAUCUUUGGAUUGUAAUAAUUCUAAUGGACUUUGGAUGUAUUGCGUUAUAUGUGUGGACUUUGGACAUGAGUUAUGUGUUAAAUGGUGUAUUUGUCAUUGUUUUGUGGAGUUAUAUAUAUGUUAUGCAUUAUAAACUGUCAAUAUACACAUAAUCA